GAUGAAGAACGUAGCGAAAUGUGAUACGUAGUGUGAAUUGCAGAAUUCAGUGAAUCAUCGAAUCUUUGAACGCACAUUGCACCUCUCGGUAUUCCGGGAGGUAUGCCUGUUCGAGCGUCAUUUGUACCCUCAAGCUCUGCUUGGUGUUGGGUGUUUGUUCCGCCUCUGUGUGUGAACUCGCCUCAAAACAAUUGGCAGCCGGCGUACUUGUUUCGGAGCGCAGCACAUUUUGCGAUCCAGAUCAACGUACAGCGGCAUCCAAGAAGCCUUAUUUAACGCUCUUGACCUCGGAUCAGGUAGGGAUACCCGCUGAACUUAAGCAUACAAUAAGCGGAGGA
rnacentral:misc_RNA from 1 species